UACGUAGGGCGCAAGCGUUGUCCGGAAUUAUUGGGCGUAAAGAGCUCGUAGGCGGUUUGUCGCGUCUGCUGUGAAAACCUAAGGCUCAACCUUGGGCUUGCAGUGGGUACGGGCAGACUAGAGUGCGGUAGGGGUGACUGGAAUUCCUGGUGUAGCGGUGGAAUGCGCAGAUAUCAGGAGGAACACCGAUGGCGAAGGCAGGUCACUGGGCCGCAACUGACGCUGAGGAGCGAAAGCCAUGGGGGAGCGAACAGG
rnacentral:rRNA from 1 species